AGAUUCUUGCAAUGGAGCAAGUCUGAUGGAGCAACGCCGCGUGAGUGAAGAAGGGUUUCGGCUCGUAAAGCUCUGUUGUUGGUGAAGAAGGACAGGGGUAGUAACUGACCUUUGUUUGACGGUAAUCAAUUAGAAAGUCACGGCUAACUACGUGCCAGCAGCCGCGGUAAUACA
rnacentral:rRNA from 1 species